rnacentral:lncRNA from 1 species
UUAUAAAGAGUUUCUUUGGUUUUCUUGUUUGAUUUGCUGGAUGGUCUGUUUGGAAACCAUAUCCAAGAAUUGGAGCAUUAAUUUGAAGAAAGAGGUUCAGAAGUUUCUUUCUGAAUUGUCCUUGAAGGUGUGAGGACUGGCAGAUGGCAGGAAGGACAGCAAGGCAAUAAGAAGGGAGCAGGGCAGGGCUGGGGGAAGCUGACAUUGCACAUUGUUCUGUAGAAGUGCGAACAGCUCAGACAGACAUGGAGCAAUCUCCCUGCUGGUCUGGUCACGGAGGAGUCUAAACACGAAGCCCACAUGCUAAGCAUAGGGGGAAGAUGGCCUGCCUGAGGACAGAGGCACCUCCCACAGGGGGUUUCUGAGAAUGGGCCAGGCUUGGAAUCCUUGAGACAGCCGAAUCUAGGAGUUGCAAGUUGUUUUCUGCAUCCGAUAUUUUGUUAUCUCUGGCCCUUCAAUAAAAUCAUGUUAAAAUUGAUAUGGUUUGUCUGUGACCCCACCCAAAUCUCAUCUUGAAUUCCCAUGUGUUGUAGGAGGGACCAAGUGGGAGGUAAUUGAAUCAUGGGGGAAGUCUUUCUGGAGCUGUUCUUGUGAUAGUGAAUUAGUCUCACAAGAUCUGACGGUUUUAAAAAUGGGAGCUUUUCUGCACAAGCUCUCUUUGCCUGCUGCCAUUCACAUAAGAUGUGACUUGCUCCUCCUUGCCUUUGGCCAUGAUUGUGAGGUUUCCCCAGCCAUAUGGAACUGUGAGUUCUCCAUUAA